CCCCACACACACACCCCACCCCACACACACUUUCAGAGAAUCAAAGACUCACAAGCUUUUCUCCAGUGAUCCAUCAAACAUCCGGCAAUUCGGGAUGUUGGGUCGAAUAUUGAAGCAUCGAUUAGGGAUGUUGGGUCUGUCAAUUCGGAUAAUGAUUUGCCACCCAUUGUGUUGGGAUCUUUGGAUUUGGUAAAGGGAGGUUAGGUGGGUUGUCUUAUUUUGCUGGGGCUGAGAAGAAAGAUGAGAAGGUUCUUGUGCCUGAUUUGGGUUCAUUAACCAGUAUUAUUUAUGACAGGGCUAGAGAAUUGUUCUAUUACUUGAAAGGUGGACAGGUGGAUUACGGUGAAGAACAUAGUAAGGCUUGUGGGCAUUCUCAAUUUGGAAGGAUAUAUGAAGAAGGGCACUACCCUCAAUGGGAUGAAGAUCAUCCUAUUCACUUUGUUGGGCAUUCGGCCGGAGCUCAGGUGAUACGGGUUUUGCAGCAAAUGUUGGCUGAUAAGGCGUUCAAGGGAUAUGAAAACAUGUCUGAAAACUGUUCUCAAAAACAACUUCUCCACACACAAAAAUAACUUAUAUAAGUUAAUCCAAACACUCUAAAAACAACUUAUUA